rnacentral:rRNA from 1 species
UACGUAGGGUGCGAGCGUUGUCCGGAAUUACUGGGCGUAAAGGGCUCGUAGGCGGCCAACUAAGUCGGAUGUGAAAUCCCCAGGCUCAACCUGGGAACUGCAUCCGAUACUGGAUGGCUUGAAUUCGGGAGAGGGAUGCAGAAUUCCAGGUGUAGCGGUGAAAUGCGUAGAUACCAGAAGGAACACCGAUGGCGAAGGCAGAGUAUUGGACAGAAGGUGACGCUGAGGCGCGAAAGUGUGGGGAGCGAACCGG